CCGGUUUUACACUUUUUGCUCAAGUGAGAAUAAACUGCUGCAGGUCGUGGCCACGCCCACCCAUCACCUCCAGGCCUUUGUUCAUUCUGUUCCCUUUGAAGAGUCCUUUCCCUCCCCUGCUCCCUGCCCUCGCCUUUACCUGCCUUACUCCUGCCCCAUCACGUCCACUUCAAGAGAACCUUCUCCAACACCCGCAGGCCCAGCUGAGUGCCCGUCUUGUACAAUUGCAUCAGAUUCAGGACAGAGUCAUGACAGCCCGAGAAAUCUGCUCUCCUGGUUCCACGUUGCAUUAUAAGUUUGCUGAUGGAUCCUUCCCCCAUUAACUGUGAACUACCUGAGAACAAGGCCAUCUCACUCAUCUUUCUAUCUGGGUACUCGGCACAGUGUCCGGCUCAGAGACAGAUCUCAGUAUUAAGUAGAUAGAUAAAUAAAUGCCUCUUAUUAUAGGCCUGAACUCACAAAGCAGGGACCAAAUGGGCCCAAGUAAACUUCUAGGGAGCCGAUCAAAAAAUGUUUCCAUAUUAGCAAUGCUGCUGGGCACCGGGUGAGUGCCAAGCUGUGGAAUGUGCCUUCUUUCCUUGGGCCUGUCCAGCCUCCCAGAUCUAGAGUCCUGGCUGGGAGCGGGGACAUGUGACCUCCUGGGGGAUUAGGCUAUCUGCCCUCUUGCACGAAUGACCUGUACUAUUUUUCUUUUGCAUUUUAUUUUUGAGAAGGAAAGAUACUCUGCCUGAAGGCUUGGCUUCCAGGGAGUUUCCAGAAACUGAUUUUUUAGAAAUUACCCAAUUCUGCUAGAAUCCUUGUCACUGUUUAAAACAGCUGCCAAAGGAAAGGAAAAGAAUUGCAGAGCAGCCCUGGUCAGAACCUCAGAGAUCAUCAAACCCAAGAGCCCUCCCCACAUAAGGGCUGUGAAACAUCUGGCGCAGGGAUCUUCCUGCCUCUGCUUACGGGAAUUGAUGAUUUCAGGCAGAAAAUCUGGAAGGAUGGGUUACAUCCCCCACCUCCACCCCCACCCCCACCCCCACCCCCGACUGGGAAAGAACACGAGCCACGAAGAUGAGCCACAAAGAUGACCGCGGAGCGCCCACCCACCCACUUCCAGGAGAGGCAGGUGGUGGGGGCUUGCCGUGGUGGGAAGCUGUGUUCUCUGGUCCCUGCCGUGGCCUCGUAUGUGUGGCAGCCCUUUAGGAUCUGGACAGUCCUUUUGCAGCCGGAGCUGGUCUGGACGUCACGGUGACCUCGUUAGGCCAACUAGACAGGAUCCUUUUUAGCUGAGGCUGAGAACUGCUUAGUAACCUGUCCCAAAUCAGAGUAAGGCAAAACCAGACUUCGUCCUAGAGCCCUCACUGCCCACCCACAUCGGUCCCAGAUACCUGUGCAUCGUCAUGUUUAUAUAACAUUUACAAAAUCUUAGCUCCACUAAAAUCAUAGCGUUCAUCAGCAUAUAAAAACUGUUAGGAAUUUCAUAUUAAGUCCAGUUAAGAGGUUGGGAUGGAUUCAAGCUGAAUUAACCAAGACUAGACCAAGAAUAUCUCCAGGGCAGGGGGGUCUGCAUUAUGAUGUCAUAAAAUAUAGGUUAUAUACCUACACCCUGUGCCAGGUAUCAAUCCCCUGACCUCAGUUAUUCUUUUUUUUUUUUUUUAAUGGGUGCACCCAUGUCCUAUGGAAGUUCCCGGGAGGGACUGAAGCAGAGUCAUAGCUGUACAACUGCAGCAAUGCGGGAUCCUUUAACCCACUGUGCGGGACUGGGGAUCGAACCCGUGUCUCCACAGUGACCCGAGCUGCUGUAUUGGAUUCUUAACCCACUGCACCACAGCAGGAACUCCCUCAUUUAUUUUAUUCUAUCUUUCUUUCUUUGGGGGCCGCUCCUGUGGCAUAGGGAAGUUCCCGGGCUAGGGGUUGAAUUGGAGUUGCAGCUGCCAGCCUGUGCCACAGCCACAGCAACACCAGAUCCAAGCCAUAUCUGUGACCUACACCACACAGCUCACGGCAACAGAUCCUUAACCCACUGAGCGAAGCCAGGGAUCGAACUCACAUCCUCAUGAACUCUGGUUGGCUUCUUAACCCACUGAGCCACAAUGGGAACUCCCUCCCUCAUUCAUUCAUUUAACAAACAUGGAUUGAAUACCCACCCAUGGCCUGGCUUGGUAGGAGGAUGCAACAGCUGAAAAGACCAAGAAUCUACCUGCGAGGAGGCAUCCAGGCUCAGGAGUUCUGACCUUGUCAUAAGCUCAGAGAGGAGAUUUUGCAGGAUAAAAAUGGGUCAGAUUGUCCCUUUAGUUAUAUGUGGGACGGGAUCAGAACUCGGAAGACCCUUCUGCUCGUGGUGACACAGGUGUGAGAUGGGGCCGCCCACACCAGAGCAGCUGCCACGAAGAUGGAUUCUGCAGCUGUUCAUAGAGCGGAAUUGACAAAACCUGGUUCUGGCUGAGCGAUGAGUGAUUUUGCAGCACCUGUCCAUGUGCUUCUGCUCUCGAACUUGUGCAUGUCUCUUAAACCCACCUUACUGCAAAUUUCUCAAGAAUGCCAAUCAAGAAGGGCUGCCUACUUUAUCUUUGGAUCACCAAAGCCCAAUACCAUGCUGGGCACAUAGUAGGUGCUCAGUAAAGCUUAGUCGUGUGUAUGAAUAAAUCAAUUGUCUUUAACUUCACCAAACAGUAACUCUAAAAACUCUUUGAGCCCUGGACUCCUCAAGAGAGCCAGGAUCCCUUUUAUAUCUUAGGAAUGCCAGGUGUCUGCCUAUCUCCUCAUUUUUUUCCUGCUAAAUUUUCCCGGUUAAUUGCCACCUGCCUCCAGGAAACUGCAGGAGAUGGUGCCAAGGCUGGUGGCAGAGAGAGAUGCGGAGAAGCAGAAGGAAUUCAGCUUCAAGCCAAAGGACAGACGAGGUGUGGUGUAGUGGACAAUGGGCAGACAGUGGAAGUUCCUACUGUGUGACCUUGGGCAAGUUCUUAACCUCUCUGGGCUGUGGAAUUUCAUCUGUAAAAUGGGGCCCGGAGUCCCUCCCUGGCAGGACUGCGGUGAGAUCAAAGAUAUGCCUCCAGAGAAGAGAUACGUCAGUAAGAGUCACAUCAUUUCUCCGGCAUAAAAAUGAACUGCACUCAGAAGACAAACUGCCCCUGAGUUUGGGAGAUUACCCAUAAUGUAAAAUAUUAAUGUAUUCUCUGGAAUUUUAUGACUUUUUGGUAUGUGGAGGUGUUGAUGGAUAGUUUAAAAAAAAAAAAAUCCCGCUUCCCUAAGUAGACAGCCCCGGAUGCCCCAAUUUCCACAAAUAAAACCCCUCAUUUCUUCCAGGUUUGAAUAAUCAAAGCCUGCUUCCCUGGAGACAGCUCUGCUAAAUUUUUUUUUUUUUUUUUUUUUUUUUUUGCAGGCAUUAGAACGCUAUUUAAGGCGUAUACAUUUUCCAGUAAAGCCAAUGAUAAAAGCUUUUCCCCCCCAUGAAGUGUGAGAUGCUGGCGAUGUGAAGAUGUGGGGGGAGACAGGAUGCUGUGAGGGCCAAUAAGCACCCCAGAUGAGGUGUUUGCAACAGCAUUGCAGAAAUACAGCAAACGUGGUUUUUUAACCUUUUGGAACCAAAAGCAAACUUGGUUGAUGAUCAUCCCAGGAAGGGGGGGUUUCAAAGGCCAGACUUGAUGCAAAUACAAUCCCGGGCCAGCCCCUCUGGAACCCACGGUCCCUGAACAGGCGAAUCGACUUCCAGAAAUGGAUUGUCCAUCUCAUGUCUGCGAUGCAGCGAAUGUUUACCACGAACCCACUCUUCUCUGAGGAUUGGAAUGAGCGCCUUGCAGGCUCUCUUUUAAUCUUCUUAACAACCCUUUGAGGGGGGGUAUUAUUAGUCCUUUUCUUUUCUGGCUGCACUCAUGGCAUUUGGGAGUUCCUGGGCCUGGGAUCGAAUCUGAGCCGUAGCUGCGACUGCCUUCUCAGCUACCUCCGAACCCACCAGGUUUGCACCCUUGCUGAGAGGCCCAGGAGGGAGGACAGUGGUGGAGGGACGUUGCCAGGGAUGGAUUCCAUCAGCUUUUGCUGCCUAUCUGUGACCAUCUUCAGAAGAGAGUUUUGGUAUAAACUACCUGCCGAUGAGUGUGGGUGCACUGGCGAACUUGACCCUACACCCCGGAGACAAGCCUGCAAAUUACCAUAGCGAGGAAUCGUGCUCCCCUGCACAGCAAGCCUCCAAUACAGUUUGCUGAAUUGGUACCAGAGGAUUUGGCUAAUUAGAAGAGGAUGGGUUGCAAACACUUUCUCAAUUAUCAGUAUGCGAGGAAUUUGUUUGGCGAUCCAACACAGCACAGGUCCUUUCCUCUCUGCAUGAACCAAGUUCAAGGAUCCUGUGAGCCCAGGGGCCUGACAGUUUCAGAGGAGCGCUCAGGCCACAGCUCCAGCUGUGCCUGCAUCACCUGCUGCAUGGGAACUCAGAUCACUGGGAACCUCGGACCCCACCUUCCCUCAGGGUCCAGCCUUCAGAAGAGGGCCAGACUUACCUUAAGGGCACUCUGCUCUGUAGGGGGCUCAUCGGAUGCCCCAAAGGACAGCAGGUGGUCCUCGCUCUGUGCGUAUGAAGUACCAGGAACAGUUCUCCAUGCUUUCUGUGUUACUUUGUUGGGGACUCACCAUGGCGAGUGAAUAAGGCAUGGUACAUCCAGACAAUGGAAUAAUAUUCAGCGCUGAAAAAUGAACCAUCAUGCUGUGAAUAGACAUGGGGAAAUGUAAAUGCAUAUUACUAAGUGAAAGAAGCCCCUCUGAGACAGCUUCAUACUGUGGGAUUCCAACUAGGUGACAUUCUGAAAAAGCCAGUGGUGGAAUCCGUAGGAAGAAGAGUGGUUGCCAAGGGCUGGGGAGAGGGAGAGAUACAUGAAUGGAGCAAAGGAGAUUUUUAGGGCCUGGAAAAUACUUUGUAAGGACUGCACUGAUGGAAGCGUGCCAUUAUACAGCGGUCCAAACCCAUAGAACGUGCAACACCAAGAGCAAAUCCUAAUACAAAGUAGUCUCUUCGGAUGAUGAUGAUGGGUCCGUGUGGGUUCAUUGAUUACAACAAUGACCCCACUCGGAGGGGGGGGGAGGGCUGUGGAUCAUGGGGUAGGCCGAGGGGUGGGCAGGAAGCACACGGGAAAUCUUUGUUCUUUCUGCUCUGUUUAGCUGGGAAUCUAGAACUGCUUUAAAAAAAAGAAAAGUAAUAAAGUCAGGAGUUCUGGUUGUGGCUCAGUGGAAAGGAAUCCGAAUAGUAUCCAUGAGGAUGUGGGUUCAAGCCCUGGCCUCACUCAGUGGGUUAAGGAUCCAGUGUUGCCCAGAGCUGUGGUGUAGGUUGCAGACGCAGCUUGGAUCCUGUGUUGCUUUGGCUCUGGCUGUGGUGUAGGCCGGUGGCUGCAGCUCC
rnacentral:lncRNA from 1 species